AAAUAGAACAAUUUUAGCAACUUUAACGGAUCACGCUAGUUAAUCUGCAGAUUAACGAGUUUCCGAGCUUUAGUGGUAACAUAUAUAAACAAUCCAUGCUCAGUUUGCAAUAAACUGCUGUGUGGAUGGUUGUUCGCUCAACCUUAAUGCUAAUGUCCAGGAAGUGAGCUUCUGUAGGGUGUGUCUGGUCAACUAGUGCAGAAAUGUUUGGCUUGUCUUUCCAUAGGAUUAGAAUAUCAUCUAUGUACUGCUUAUACAAUAGGAUGUUGGGGAGAUGUUUUGGGAUAAAUUCCGAUUCCAGUUUUCUCACUACUAUUUCACACAGGUCUCCAGCGAUGGGGCUGCCUAUAGGGACCCCUCUUUGCUGCUCAUAUGUUAUUCCUUUGAACCAGAAGAAGGAGUUGUGACAAAGCAAAUGUGCCAUUUCAAGGAUGUGUUGGUGCAAUACACAGAUGCUUUUACAUGCUACUUCUAGCAAUGUUAAAUAAAUGGAAAAAAAAAACAUUUUCAGCUGCUUUACCGGUUCUCCUCAGGUUACAAGAACUAUUUUACACACUUUAAAAUGAACUGUACUGUACUUAUUAAAAGAAUUUUUUAAACUUUUUACAAAAAUUUGAAUGAACAUAAACAUUCAAAAUAUGGAGCAUUCUACACUUCAAUGAUGUUAAAUAAAAUAAAAAUUUCAAAACAUUUUCAAAAAAUUAAAAAAGAUUCAAAAUGAAAGAUUGUAACAUACUUUUAAGAGAGAAAGUUCUUGUAGCUUGAGAAUAGUCACUAAAAUGGUCAAAUUGUUUGUUUUUUUCCAUUUACCUGACAUUUAUUAAACAUCCGAUUAAUUAAUUAAAUUAAUUAAAACAAUAAAUUAAAAAUGUCUGCAUGUUUGUUGAACUGUUCCAGCUUUUAGGAUUUACCUGGCACUACUUCAUAACAUAUUACUUAUGAUUGUUGUUGUUAUUAAUAUUAGUAGUAAUAUUGAUAUAUUAUUUAUUAAUGUUAAUAAUUUUAUUUUAUUAUAAUAUCCAUAGUCAGAUUGUUGAUCAGAUGGUACUUCUUCAUAUGAUUUGGCAUUGCCAUUUGUUUUAUUUAGAAGUGGAAGUGUAGUAUAUAGAUGUCUAAGAAAAUGCCUAAGAGAAAGCAAAGAAAAAAAUCUUUUUCAAGGCUAUAGAAUUUUUAGUACAAUCUAGGAUACAAAUGGCAGAAGUGUCUGUACCAUCUUGGUCUGGUAUGUUGUACUGGUUGUGUCAGUCUGACAAGUGAGUAGUGUUCAAUGAGAACAUAAUAUAUUAACUAGGAGAAGGGGGUGGGAUAAAUAUAUUUCAUCUUUUUCUCCAUGUUACAGUAACAAGGGGACUCUGACUGACCUGACUAGGACAAAAGAAAAAGGUCUAGACCAGAGAUGUCCAGCCUGUGUGCCGCACUGCGGCCCACAUAAUAUUCUUAUGCAGCCCACUGUACCCUAAAUUUUUUAAGGUUUGCAUUUUAUAAUCAAAGUUAUUAGAAAGGUGGACACAAAUAAUUGAAGAAAAUAUCAAAAAUCGACUGUCAGAUCAAUUAAGUUGUCAGUUAUUUCAAAGAAAAGGCCUUAUAAUAAUUAUUAUUCAAAAAUCUUUCUAAGAAGCAAUGUUUUUCCACUGUUGUUUGAUUUUUCUGGAUAUAAUAAAAUAAUUGUUUAGGAAAAGAACGUGCAGAGUGAAGAAAAGUUAAGAUGGCCACUGUAAAACAUGAUGAUAUAAAGUCACUGGAAAAUGUGGUUAAAAAAAGGAAAACCACUCAUUUCUGUGGUAAUUCUGACCUUAAAAAUGAAGAUAAAGCUCAUUUAUCAAAAGAAGAAAAGUCUACAAUGGUGAGUACAAAAUCAUCAGCUUCACAAAAGAAAAAUAAGUCAGUUACUUCGGGAUCGAACCCAGUUUCUCAGAAAGAUGGAGCUGGAUCAGGUUUGUAAUUAACCUUGAACAUUUGAAAUUUUCUUUUAUAUCUUAUAUUUAAAAAAUAUUUAAUUUUUAUUUAAAUAAUUUAGAAUAUGCAGAUGCAUUAUACGCAUCUGCACAUUAAGCAGGAGUUGUGAGUUUGAGUAUAGCUCUGGGCCAAUUCUUUUCUUCCAAAAUAUUUUAAUUAAAUUAUUUAAUUUAAUUGUAAUUAUUAAAUUUAAUAAGAGCAUCCAACACCUCCCUCUAGUUACAAAUUAUUUAUAAAUUAAUUAAAAAUAAUUGCAGAAAAGUAGCCCGAUUUUAAUUUGGUAGUUGUUUGGCUUGUGAAUAAACACACACUUCCUUACUACAUAGGAAUAUUUGAAUAUUAUGUGUAAAAUUAGAUAAAAUAUAAUUAAUUGACUUAUUGUUUCAAUUUAGACCAACUAAUUUAUAAGUUAUGAUCAUACAUGUUAUGGUUAUAUUUUCUAAAUUAAUUGGCCUAGCAAUGGACAUUGGAUGGAGAUCUGGGUAAUGUAAUUAGUAACACAUCUGUAAGUAAAAGGAAUUGUGGGUUUGAGUCCUGUUCUGGACUAGUUUUUUUCUAGAAUAUUUUAUAAAUUAAUUAAUGUAUUUUUAAUUAUUAAAUUCAAUACGAGAUGGCUGCUUAACCCAUCUACCUUUAGUCCAAAUUACAUGAUGUCUCUAUAAUUUUAAUUAAAAUGGCUGAUGGUAUUUUUUAAAAAAUUAAAAAUUUGAAGAAACUAAGUCGUCUUCAUUUCCACCAUGUCCAAUCAUCAGAAAACAGUAAGUCUUUCUUUAUAAUUAAUUUACUGUAUUAUAUUGGAUUGUUCGGAAAGUAAUUUCGUUUUUUUUUUCUGUGUCAAACACACUAUUUUUAUAAUAAAUAAAUAUUUUAUUGAAUUAUAUAUUGACCAUUUUGAUCAACUACCUGUUGCCUUGUUUCUGUUAGUAGCAUGUUUCUACGUUUAUAAAAGUUUUGAUGUUUGCUUACAAAAAAGAACGGAUUCAAGUAAUUUUUGACAUUUUCAUUUCAAGUAAACGUCUUACAGUUUAAAAAAUUUUGUAAAGACCAGAACAAGUAAUAAUCUGAGGGUGCCUGAUCUGGCGAAUAUUGUUGGUUUGAUAGCACAUCCCAUCUAAGCUGUAACAGUUUCUGACGAGUUACCAUACUUGUCUGAAAUUUGGCAUUAAUUACAUUACACCUGUUUUGUUGAUAAAUUCUGGCCUUUUCUGUUUGAUGAUAUUACUCAAUUUGUUUACUCGAUGGCAGUACACUUUUGAUUGUAUCAAUUGUUAAAU